rfam:Pristionchus pacificus strain PS312 contig8185, whole genome shotgun sequence.
UCUUCAUUUCCCACACUCUCUCACCGGUUAGAGUGACGAGAGAGUGUGCGAAAUGAAGAGA